rnacentral:rRNA from 1 species
GAUGAACGCUAGCUACAGGCUUGACACAUGCAAGUCGAGGGGAAACGACAUUGGAAGCUUGCUUCCGAUGGGCGUCGACCGGCGCACGGGUGAGUAACGCGUAUCCAACCUGCCCAUCACUUGGGGAUAACCUUGCGAAAGUAAGACUAAUACCCAAUGAUAUCUCUAGAAGACAUCUGAAAGGGAUUAAAGAUUUAUCGGUGAUGGAUGGGGAUGCGUCUGAUUAGCUUGUUGGCGGGGUAACGGCCCACCAAGGCGACGAUCAGUAGGGGUUCUGAGAGGAAGGUCCCCCACAUUGGAACUGAGACACGGUCCAAACUCCUACGGGAGGCAGCAGUGAGGAAUAUUGGUCAAUGGGCGAGAGCCUGAACCAGCCAAGUAGCGUGCAGGAUGACGGCCCUAUGGGUUGUAAACUGCUUUUAUAAGGGAAUAAAGUGAGUCUCGUGAGACUUUUUGCAUGUACCUUAUGAAUAGGGACCGGCUAAUUCCGUGCCAGCCGCCGCAGUUA